CUUAAAUUAUUAUUAUUAUAUCUUCCUAACAAACAAAGCAGCACACGGUAACAACAACAAAAACCCAGCUUAAAAAUCAAUGGAGAUUGAGACCCUCGUGGAAGACAAAAUUGUGACAACAGAAAGUAUUGUGGGAGGUGAAACUGGUGUUUGUGAAGUCGACACAAGCCAAGAACCAUAUGAAGGUAUGGUAUUUGAAUCGGAAAAUGCUGCCAGAGUUUUCUAUGAUGAAUAUGCUAAACAGGAAGGAUUUCUUACUCGUAUUGUAUCAUCCCGUAAGUCUGAGCAUGAUGGAACAAUUAUAUCUCGUCGACUUGCUUGUAAUAAAGAAGGAUUUAAUCUCAGCAGCCAAAAGACAGGGCAAGUUAAAAUUAGAAAAAGAGAAAGCAAACGGGAGGGUUGUAUGGCAAUGAUAUUGGUGAAGAGAGAAAAGCUAGGGAAAUGGGUGGUGACAAAGUUUACGAGGGAGCAUAAUCAUCCACUAGUAAUAUCAUCAAAAAAAGUCGACUAACUAUCUAGGUGGUGGUACAGUGGUAAUAACUUGGGACCAAGAGGUUUGCUCCCUCUGUGGUCUCAGGUUCGAGCCAUGUGGUUGCUCAUAUGAUGAUCACUGGAGGUUUAUAUGGUCAUUAACUUCAGGGCCCGUGAAAUUAGUCGAGAUGCGCGCAAGCUGGCCCGGACACCCACGUUAAACUAAAAAAAAAAAAAAAGUUCGACCAACAACUGAUGAAAAGGAUGAGAGAAUUCGAGAGCUAUCCUCCCAGUUGCAUCAUACGAACCGACAGUUAGCAGCAUGCCGAGAACAGCUGCAAACAUUUUUGACUUACAUUGAGGAACACACUAUGUGCAUGUUAAGAACACUCGAAGGUGUUGUUCAAAACAUUAGAGAAGUUGAAUCUGAAACCAGAAGCUGCUCCUAGGUUAGUCAUAAGACCUGGCAUUACGUUGUAAAUCUUGUACAAAUUUCAACUCUUGUUAGUAGGUGAAAGUUCAUCAAAAUUCCUUCCAGUUGUAUAAUCCUGUUGCAAAUUGUUUCGAGGCCUUGUAAUCAUCUGCUUGACCUAAUCUCAGUUUUGUAAGUAAACUAAUGAUAUUUCAUGUAUGAUAUUUG